rnacentral:lncRNA from 1 species
UGUGUUGUGUGUGUGUUGUGUGUUGUGUGUGUGUGUGCCUGUUGUGCCGUUGGUUGGCACUCCAGUUCAGUUCAGUGGUUGGUGGUGGUUGGAGGUCAGUCGGUUGUUGCCGCCGCCUGUUGCAAGUGGGGCCGUGUUAACGCUGGUUUAUUGUCACUCCAACCAACAACAACCACAACACCACCACCACCACCGCCGCCGCCAACAGGCGAACUCCCAGCCCGGCAGUGCCACCCAGGGAAGGAGGAGGAGGAGGAGCGGGUGUUGUGUGUGUGUGUUGUGUUGUGUUGUGUUGUGUUGUGUUGUGUGUGUGUGUGGGUCUGUUGUGCCGUUGGUUGGCACUCCAGUUCAGUUCAGUGGUUGGUGGUGGUUGGAGGUCAGUCGGUUGUCGCCGCCGCCUGUUGCAAGUGGGGCCGUGUUAACGCUGGUUUAUUGUCACUCCAACCAACAACAACCACAACACCACCACCACCACCACCACCGCCGCCGCCAACAGGCGAACUCCCAGCCCGGCGGUGCCACCCAGGGGAGGAGGAGGAGGAGCGGGUGUUGUGUGUGUGUUGUGUGUGUGUUGUGUGUGUGUUGUGUGUGUGUGCGCCUGUUGUCAUGCCGGUGGUCACUCGCUCGGUUUGGCUGGUUUGGUGGUUGGAGGUUGGUCGGUUGUUGCUGCCGACUGUUGAGCCGCGUUAACACUGUUCUAUUGUCGCUCCAACCAACAACAACCGCAACAACACCACCACCACCACCAACAGGCGAACUCCCAGCCCGGCAGUGCCACCCAGGGGAGGAGGAGGAGGAGGAGCGGGUGUUGCGUGUGUGCGUUGUGUUGUGUUGUGUGUGCAUGUGCCUGUUGUCAUGCCGGUGGUCACUCGCUUGGUUUGGCUGGUUCAGCGGUUGGUGGUGGUUGGAGGUCGGUCAGUCGGUUGUCGCCGCCGCCUGUUGCAAGUGGGGCCACAUUAACACUGUUCUAUUGUCACUCCAACCAACAACAACCACCAACAAGAGCAACAGCAACACCACCACCACCACCACCGCCAACAGGUGGACUCCCAGCCCAGUGGUGCCACCCGAGGGAGGAGGAGGAGGAGGAGGAGCGGGUGUUGCGUGUGUGUUGUGUGUUGUGUUGUGUGUGUGUGUGCUUGUUGUCUUGCCAAUGGUCGCUUGGUUUGGUUUGUCUGG